rnacentral:rRNA from 1 species
UACGUAGGGUGCAAGCGUUGUCCGGAAUUAUUGGGCGUAAAGAGCUCGUAGGCGGUCUGUCGCGUCGGCUGUGAAAACCCGGAGCUCAACUCCGGGCCUGCAGUCGAUACGGGCAAACUGGAGUGUUGCAGGGGAGACUGGAAUUCCUGGUGUAGCGGUGAAAUGCGCAGAUAUCAGGAAGAACACCAAUGGCGAAAGCAGCUUUCUGGGACGGUACUGACGCUGAGACGCGAAAGCGUGGGGAGCGAACAGG